AUGCAGUCGACGAUGAUCUCCAGCUUGCUGGGGGGAUUAGUGGCGAACGGGUGAGUAACACGUGAGUAACCUGCCCUUGACUCUGGGAUAAGCCUGGGAAACUGGGUCUAAUACCGGAUAUGACCAUUCCACGCAUGUGGUGGUGGUGGAAAGCUUUUGCGGUUUUGGAUGGACUCGCGGCCUAUCAGCUUGUUGGUGGGGUAAUGGCCUACCAAGGCGACGACGGGUAGCCGGCCUGAGAGGGUGACCGGCCACACUGGGACUGAGACACGGCCCAGACUCCUACGGGAGGCAGCAGUGGGGAAUAUUGCACAAUGGGCGGAAGCCUGAUGCAGCGACGCCGCGUGAGGGAUGACGGCCUUCGGGUUGUAAACCUCUUUCAGUAGGGAAGAAGCGUAAGUGACGGUACCUGCAGAAGAAGCGCCGGCUAACUACGUGCCAGCAGCCGCGGUAAUACGUAGGGCGCAAGCGUUAUCCGGAAUUAUUGGGCGUAAAGAGCUCGUAGGCGGUUUGUCGCGUCUGCUGUGAAAGACCGGGGCUCAACUCCGGUUCUGCAGUGGGUACGGGCAGACUAGAGUGCAGUAGGGGAGACUGGAAUUCCUGGUGUAGCGGUGAAAUGCGCAGAUAUCAGGAGGAACACCGAUGGCGAAGGCAGGUCUCUGGGCUGUAACUGACGCUGAGG
rnacentral:rRNA from 1 species